AUUCUACUCCCUCCGUUCCACAAUACGUGCCUUCUAUUUGUCAAAAUAUAGAUGUAUCUAGACAUGUUUUAGUAUAUAGGUACAUCCAUUUUUGGACAAAUGGAAGUCAAGUAUUUUGGAACGGAGGGAAAACACA
rfam:Triticum aestivum genome assembly, contig: Triticum_aestivum_CS42_TGACv1_scaffold_220606_3B